rnacentral:rRNA from 1 species
CUGGUUGAUCCUACCAGUAAUAUACGCUUGUCUCAAAGGUUAAGCCAUGCAUGUCUAAGUACAAACAUAAAUGAAUGUGAAACCGCAUAAGGCUCAGUAUAACAGCUAUAAUUCACAAGAUCAUCCUACCACUAGUUACUUGGAUAACUGUGGAAAAUCCAGAGCUAAUACAUGCAACAUGCCGGGACUGUUGCCCUCGCGGGUAGCUGAACUGGUGCACUUAUUAGUUAAACCAAUCGCCUCCGGGCGGCUUGAGUUGAAGUCUGGAUAAGGACGCAGAUCGUAUGGUCGCUUGUCGACUGACGACAGAUCUUUCAAAUGUCUGCCCUAUCAACUAUUGAUGGUAGUGUAGAGGACUACCAUGGUUGCGACGGGUAACGGGGAAUCAGGGUUCGAUUCCGGAGAGGGAGCCUGAGAAAUGGCUACCACAUCCAAGGAAGGCAGCAGGCGCGUAAAUUACCCAAUCCCAGUACGGGGAGGUAGUGACGAGAAAUAACAAUAUGGACCUCUCUAACGAUGGUCCAUAAUUGGAAUGAGUUGAGUAUAAAUCCUUCAACAAGGAUCAAGUGGAGGGCAAGUCUGGUGCCAGCAGCCGCGGGUAAUUCCAGCUCCACUAGCGUAUAUUAAAGUUGUUGCGGUUAAAACGUUCGAAGUUGAUUGCCCGUCCAGACACGUGACCGCCACGGGCGCCCGGUUACACGCCGGGGCCGUUCGUGCGCGCGCUCACGGCUGCGACUCACAAUGGUGUACUUGGGCGUUACUCUGUGAACGAGUACCGUGCUACCGGUUAACUCCGGCACGGGCUCCUCAUGGUGCUCAAGAUACUCACAUUUACCUUGAACAAAUUAGAGUGCUCAAAGGCAGGCUAAGACAAAGCGUCCGGCCCCCCCGUGGGGUUGGCGUUGGCCGAGAAUAAUCUUGCAUGGAAUAAUGGAAUAUGACCUCGGUUUAUAACGAUUUCGUGGUUUGUCAGAAACCUAGAGGUAAUGAUUAACAGAAGUAGUUGGGGGCAUUGGUAUUACGGCGCGAGAGGUGAAAUUCGUAGACCGUCGUAGGACCAACUGAAGCGAAAGCGUUUGCCAUGGAUGCUUUCUUUAAUCAGAACGAAAGUUAGAGGAUCGAAGGCGAUUUAGAUACCGCCCUAGUUUCUAACCGUAACGAUGCCAAUUAGCAAUUGGGAGACGCUACCCCUAUUCGGUGCUCUCAGGUCGCUUCCGGGAAACCAAAAUCGGGUUCCG